rnacentral:tRNA from 1 species
GAAUUCGUAGUUUAGUGGUCAGCACGCUCGACGCAUAACCGAGAGGUCCGUGGUUCGAUUCCCGGCGAAGGCG